CCUCCCUCAGGAUCACACAUUCUGCUUUGAUCCCCUCACCCAGGGACCCCUCCAGGCUUCUCUCACCUGCCCUGCUUCGUAAUGAUCAUCUCAGUUUGGUGACGGUGGAAUUUGAGCCACAGAGGCCGGUUGCACAGGAAAGUAGAAAAGAAAGGCAGUGCCAUGCCUGCCGCAGGACUGCGAAGAGGAGCAAGGGGCCUGGCUCCAAAAGGAAACAACGCCCUCAGUGUAAAUCAGCUGCUCAUCCCUAGCAGAGCUGGCGGAGAUUAAAGUUUCUGACAGUGAUACACACAGGUGUGCAGGACGUGGACACAACAGGUGGGCAGAGUCCAGUCCUGAGAACCAAGGCUUCAGGGCGCCAGGAGCAGCUGCAAUCUUUACCCAGGCCCUAAGUGAGAAAUGAGAGAGAAAGUCUGCAUUGGCGCAGAAACUUGGCAGAGAUAACUACAGACGAGAACGGACAGCAGGACAGAAAAACCAGAGAGCAAACUCCUAAAAUCCUCCUCUGUAGAUUCUUAAGAGAAGAGCAGAAUGUUGGACCCAGAAUUGUAUGUAUAUGUGGGUCUUCCUUUUACUCACUUCGAGAUCUCAGCAAGCUCCUUACGUGCCUCAGUUUCCCUAUCUGUAAUAAUAGCACACGUACUAUAAAUAAAGCAAGUAGACUAGCAGCCUUCCCAGGAAA